CCUACGGGUGGCAGCAGUGGGGAAUAUUGCACAAUGGGGGAAACCCUGAUGCAGCAACACCGCGUGGGUGAAGGAGCGUUUCGGCGCGUAAAGCCCUGUCAGCGGGGAAGAAGAAAGACGGUACCCGACCAAGAAGCCCCGGCUAACUACGUGCCAGCAGCCGCGGUAAUACGUAGGGGGCAAGCGUUAUCCGGAUUUACUGGGGGUAAAGGGAGCGUAGACGGCAGCGCAAGUCUGGAGUGAAAUGCCGGGGCCCAACCCCGGAACUGCUUUGGAAACUGUGCAGCUGGAGUGCAGGAGAGGUAAGCGGAAUUCCUAGUGUAGCGGUGAAAUGCGUAGAUAUUAGGAGGAACACCAGUGGCGAAGGCGGCUUACUGGACUGUAACUGACGUUGAGGCUCGAAAGCGUGGGGAGCAAACAGGAUUAGAUACCCGGGUAGUC
rnacentral:rRNA from 1 species